rnacentral:rRNA from 1 species
UACAGAGGGUGCGAGCGUUUAAUCGGAAUUACUGGGCGUAAAGCGCGCGUAGGCGGCUUUGCAAGUCGGGUGUGAAAGCCCUGGGCUUAACCUAGGAAGUGCACUCGAAACUGCCAAGCUUGAGUUCUGGAGAGGAAGGCGGAAUUCUCGGUGUAGAGGUGAAAUUCGUAGAUAUCGAGAAGGAACACCGGUGGCGAAGGCGGC